CUGAGUGUGCAGGGAGUUGAGUGUGCAGGGAGCUGAGUGUGCAGGGAGCCGUGAGUGUUCAAGGGUCCCAGAAUGCCCUUGGACCCCUGGGGCCACAGAGUGCCCCGCUUAGAGGGUCCAGUCCCCAGCUGUGAGUAUGGAAGAACCAACGCGCAGAAAACGUGGCAGAUCUAGGACUCGGGGCAGGGGCAUCAGGGGUGUCAGUGCGGACACCUGUGCCCGUGGUCGGCUGAGAUGGGAUCUGAGUGACAGCUGUGUCCUGCGGCUGCCGUUCAUGGCAACCCACAGGCUGCGGACGGCUGUGGGUGUGCAGGUUUUGUGUCUCCUGUGGGGAAAGGGCCCAGCCCAGGCCAAGCCCUCUCACCGAACACAGAAUAAGUCUCUGCUGUCCAAGCCCUCGACACACUCAUGUGAGGGGGGUCUGCUGUACAAGAAAGGAGGAAGCGUGUGUGUGUGUGCCCCCUAGACACGGUUCACUGUCUCGCCCUCCUUCUACAAACAGCCUGAAGGGUGGCCUGACACACCCUUGGCAGCUCGGUCGUCCACUGGCCCCUCAGCUGCUCGUGGCCUUAUACCUGCCGUGCAUUUCACACACCUAGAGGUCACACACCUUCACUGCCACGAGAUACCCACGCAAAGUGCCCACUGCACGCGUGGGCCUUCUCUCUCCUGCUCUGGGCAGCCCUCCUCCCCUGGCUAGUCACGAUUUGGCUCUGUCUCCUGGAGGCGGGAGCCUGGGGUCGAGAAGCCAGGCCCUUCUCAGGUCACUUAGGCCAGGACCUGAAACCCGUCCAAUGCCCUCCCCAUGCCCGACGGGCACCCUGAUCCCCACUAGAGGGGGCAGCUACCCUCAGACUCCCCAGGGGUUCACGGAGCCCUGAGGCCUGCCGGGGCCUGUCCUCACUGCCAUGCUUCCUCCAUCCCGCCAGGGGUGUUCCAGUGUCUCCGAGUGAAGGGCCAGGACCUCAUGCAUCUCAACAUAAACGAGUUCAUCGGCUUGGCCGUCAGCAUCUGAGGCUGCGCGGAUGAGGCGCUGUCUGCCCCCUGACACCCGGCGUCUGGACGCGAACCUCGGCAUUCUUGCCGGAGAGCCAUCCUGCCCGCUGCCCUCUCCCAGCCUCACACCGCCUCCUCCCCUUCCCGCCAUGACCCGGAAGAAUCCAGAAUCUGGCUGUGCUCUCUGGUUCUGCGAUCAUUCUUCACCAGAACCAACAGUGCCGCCUGUGUCUGUGCCCACGCCUGCUGUCCCCAGACAACCCUCCUCCCACUGUCCCUGCCUCCACCAAGAUCAUUCGAUGCUCUCGUUCCCCGAAUCUUGCCUCAGUGUGCUCCAGCCAUGCUAUCAAGACACACGCAAAAAUAAAUAAAUAAAUAGUUUUAAAAAAA